AGUGAACGCUGGCGGCGUGCUUAACACAUGCAAGUCGAACGAGAACGGGAUAUAGCUUGCUAUAUUUGUCAGCUAAGUGGCGCACGGGUGAGUAAUAUAUAGGUAACAUGCCCUUUACAAAGAAAUAACAUUUGGAAACGAAUGCUAAUGUCUUAUAUGCCUUUAAUACAUAAGUAUGCAAGGGAAAGAUUUAUCGGUAAAGGAUUGGCCUGUACAGUAUCAGCUAGUUGGUGAGGUAAAGGCUUACCAAGGCUAUGACGCUUAACUGGUUUGAGAGGAUGAUCAGUCACACUGGAACUGAGACACGGUCCAGACUCCUACGGGAGGCAGCAGUGGGGAAUAUUGCACAAUGGGCGAAAGCCUGAUGCAGCGACGCCGCGUGAACGAUGAAGGCUUUCGAGUCGUAAAGUUCUGUUCUUGGGGAAGAUAACGACGGUACCCAAGGAGAAAGCAACCGGCUAAAUACGUGCCAGCCGCCGCGGUAA
rnacentral:rRNA from 1 species